GACGAACGCUGGCGGCGUGCUUAACACAUGCAAGUCGAACGGAAAGGCCCUGCUUUUGUGGGGUGCUCGAGUGGCGAACGGGUGAGUAACACGUGAGUAACCUGCCCUUGACUUUGGGAUAACUUCAGGAAACUGGGGCUAAUACCGGAUAGGAGCUCCUGCUGCAUGGUGGGGGAUGGAAAGAUUCGGCGGUGUGGGAUGGACUCGCGGCUUAUCAGCCUGUUGGGGGAGUAGUGGCUUCCCACGGCUUUGACGGGUAGGCGGCCUUGGAGGGUGACCGGCGUCCUUGGGCCUGCGGGAGGCCCCAGUCUCCUACCGUCGGCAGCAGUGGGGAAUAUUGCGCAAUGGGCGGACGCCUGAUGCAGCGACGCCGCGUGCGUGAUGACGUCCUUCGGGUUGUGAACCGCUUUCGCCUUUGCCGAAGCGUGAGUGGCGGUAAUGAGUAAAGAAGCCCCGGCUAACUACGUG
rnacentral:rRNA from 1 species